CUCGGCACUCCAGGGGAAUCCCAUCAUCGAGAAGACUAUGACACCGUAGAUGAGGGAUUGUACGAAGACGUAAGGAAUUUCGAUGAGGAACUGCACAGAAAGGAAAAGUUUGCAGCUCUGGCAUCAAGCCCUGAAGUCGGCUCGUCCAUAAAUAUGAUUGAAGGGUUCGCAACGAGUUCAACCGCAAUGGUAAGCCUUUUCCGCUGCUCGGUUGAGAGGCCACUGACUCCCGGCAACCCAACUAGUGCUUCUCUCAAGGGGGUGAGUUCUACUAGGUCCAUUACCUCAUCAACGAAUACCUGUGAGUAGAAAAGAAGCUCAAAUAUUAGAAUCAAGUCGUGGUACGGAAAACGAGGCUCAUAGAAUGUCAUCUUAUUCACUGAACCUUUUUAGUUUUUUCAUCAACUUCUUGGGGCAAUCUCAGCCAAGCUGAGUAAACAAGGGACUCGUAAAUAGUGACAUUUGGAGAAUGGAUGUCGUUCUGCUCACAAUAUCCCGAUAUCCUAGCAAACGUCGCCUGAUUCUUUGGGUAUCCUGAUAUUUUGAUAUCUCCCUCAAUAUAACCACCAGUUUUUCUUCCAGCUAGCACGUCCAUCAAUGUUGUUUUACCAGCCCCACUGACACCCAUCAACGCUGUAAGAACACCGGGUCUGAAAGCGCCACUGACGCCCUUUAACAGCUCCAAUUUGUCUUCUGUGGCUCCUUGAGCUCUCAUUUCCUGCAAAUUGAAUAGGCAUGUCCACAGAGUAUCUGACAUCAUCAAAUGUGAGAGAGUGCGGUUCAAAUGGAAGGAUCAUUCCCUUUUUCCUGUUCUCUGUGAGUUCGAUGGCAUCGGAUCUCACAGAUGAAGAUCCACUCGAGAUGCUUCUCCGCCCGCCAUCACUGCCCUGAGCUGGAUUUCUACUGAUGGAGCCAUGCACAUGGGAAUCAUCUUCGACAUUUUCGGGACAAAACCACCCAAGGCGAAAAGCAGGAGCAGUGCGAAUAGACCAAAUGUGUUUGCAACAAUCAUGUUCCUACCGGCCGAGCCAAUAAAUCUGAACAACGCGGAUGCUGACUGAUGCACAAAUAAAAGGAGAAAGUACUGCCUCAAUAACCUGCAUUGGGACUCCUUUUCGGUUACUACAUUUGAAGAAUUUUAUCAUAGCGUAGUUUGUAUUGUAUAUCUCUUACCUUUCAAUGUUUGGAUCGAAUCCAAUCACGUAGUAGGUGACAAAUACCCAUAAAGCAACUUCGAGGAAGGUCACCGGGAUUUUCAGGACCCACGAGGGUAUAGCAUAUGCCCACGGUGGGAAGAAGUACAUAUCCCUUUGUUUGUAGAAUACAGGUAGCUUGUAAAUCGUCAUAGCCAGCUCGGACAUACCAUUGAACAUGACAAUAAUCACAGUGAAAAACAAAGCACCGGUAUAUACACCCCCGCCUCCUAUAUCAUCUUUAUUCAUCUCUGUUCUCAGAAAGAGUGUGAUCGCAAUCAACGCCAUCGUCGUGAGCUGAAACCAGGCUUUAAAAAGUUCCUUUUUCCCAAUGCCAUACUUCUCCGUUGUCAAAGCUGCGGGGUGGCUUUUGGUCUUGUCAAAUGGGACUGCGAGCUCAUCUCCAACUCUCCGUCCAACAACGUAUGAUUGGAAGGCUUCUGCGAAUUCACUAACUGAUACAUAUCGUCAGCCACUCCUUUCCGCGCUGGGCAUACAAAGCCCAUGGACUCAAAGAAGCCUAACACAUUCUCUCGAGGUCCCUGAUAGACGAUCUGGCCAUCGGACAAGAGCACAAUGUCAUCAAACAGGUUAUAGGUCUCGGGUGCUGGCUGCAGCAGGGAGAUAAACGCGGUCCCUUUCAUAAUGUGGACGUAUUGUCGAAGCAUAUUCACAAUCUGGAAAGUUGUCGAACUAUCCAAACCGGUGGAUAUCUCGUCCAUGAAAAGCGCCUUCGCUGGGCCAACCAGCAUUUCUCCUGUGAUUUCCCGAACCAAUCAGUGUCAGUAAAUACCCCUUAUCAUCUCGUCUCCAACUAAUGUGUCGGCACAUAUUUCAAGCCCGAGAACCUAGAGAAACAACAAGAGAACCAUCAGAAGACUGAGCUGUUGGAAUUGUCAUUAAAUUUUGAGUUUAAUCUCUGCUCCAGUUCUGCCAACAUAUCUGCUCAACAAAUCCAAACAAGAAAACAACACUCAGCUUCAAAACAUAAAACUACUCGAAUUUUACCGGUCAUGCUGGCUUAUGUACGCUGCAGUUCUUUGAGGCACGAAUUCGUGCAUUUCGUGACCGUUUUUGGACGAGCCUCUCGAUGAGCUGCUUCUUGUCGUGGAGUCCGAGAUCAUGCACGUCAACCUCGUUGGCGCCUCUGGACCCGAGCAGCAGGCCUCUCCUCAGGCGAUCGAACGUGGGCAGCUUCUCGAGCGCAGCCCACUUCAGGGCCUCCUCGUCGUCCUCCUCACGCGAUGAUCGCGCGAACACUUCCAACCCGGUGUUCCUCCAUAUGCCCGAGCCGCUCGCCCUGAAGCUUUCGCCUCGUUUGCUGCUUGAUCUCAAGCUACCGCUCGCUCGGUACAGGUCACCCGCAUCCAUGCUCUCUUGCACACACUCUCUCUUCUUUGUUUAUGAGCAGGGAGAUGGGCUCAGAGAGCUGUGGAAUUCAAGGAUGGCUGAGAAAGAAUGCAGUUUCAUUCUUGUGGAAAAAAGGUGAUGUCUUGUUUUAUAUAUAUAUAUAGUCUGUCAAGAUAGGUAGUCAUGGGGGCUUGAAUAUUCAAAAUUUUAGGAAUUUUUUAAUUUGGGAAUUGUUAUGCUAAUCUUAUUAUAUCUUGGAUAGUGUGGAAUUUAUUUGUUUUUUAUCACAGGUCACCUUUUAUUUACUA